GUGUCACUUUGGCAGCACAUUAACUAAAAUUCAAAUGAUACAGAGAAGAUUAGCAUGGCCUGUACACAAGGACGACAGGCAAAUUCAUGAAGUGUUUCAUAUUAUA